GCCUUCUUAGCUCAGUGGUAGAGCGUAGCGUGAGUCAGUUAUUACCUCCUACCUUGGGCCCUACUAACAUCAUAUGUAGACUAGUAAUGCUAAUAAUGCUAAGGUCGACGGUUCGACUCCGUCAGGAGGCA